rnacentral:pre_miRNA from 1 species
UCGAGUGAAACUCUUUCCACAUAUAAAUGUGUCGAAUGUGGAACAAGUUUUACGCGUUC